rnacentral:rRNA from 1 species
GAUGAACGCUGGCGGCGUGCUUAAUACAUGCAAGUCGAACGAUCGGACCACGGGUGGUAACACUUGUGGUUACGGAGUGGCGAACGGGUGAGUAACACGUGAGCAACCUGCCUUUCAGACGGGGAUAACGUUGGGAAACCAGCGCUAAUACCCGAUGACCCGGUAGGGGGGCAUCCCCCAGCCGGCAAAUGUUUUUCGCUGAAAGAGGGGCUCGCGUCCUAUCAGCUUGUUGGUGGGGUAACGGCCUACCAAGGCGAUGACGGGUAACUGGCGGGAGAGCGCGACCAGUCACACCGGGACUGAGACACGGCCCGGACUCCUACGGGAGGCAGCAGUAGGGAAUAUUGGACAAUGGGCGAAAGCCUGAUGCAGCGACGCCGCGUGAGGGAUGACGGCCUUCGGGUUGUAAACCUCUUUCGACAGGGACGAAGCGCAAGUGACGGUACCUGGAGAAGAAGCGCCGGCCAACUACGUGCCAGCAGCCGCAGUAAAAC